rnacentral:rRNA from 1 species
UACGUAGGGUGCAAGCGUUAAUCGGAAUUACUGGGCGUAAAGCGCGUUCAGGCGGUUUGGCAAGUCGGGCAUGAAAUCUCUCGGCUCAACCGGGAGAGGUUGUCCGAUACUGCUGGACUUGAGGGCAGUAGAGGGUGGUGGAAUUCCGGGUGUAGUGGUGAAAUGCGUAGAUAUCCGGAGGAACACCAGUGGCGAAAGCGGCCACCUGGACUGCGCCUGACGCUGACACGCGAAAGCUAGGGGAGCGAACGGG